rnacentral:rRNA from 1 species
UCMCUUGUCCCUUAAAUGAGGACGCGUAUGAAAGGCAACAUGARARAACACCUGUCUCCUAAGGAAUGCCAAUGAAAUUGAACUACCAGUUCAAAAGCUGGWAUAAAAAAGCAAGACAAAAARACCCUGKGRAACUUUAAUUAMCUGCUUUACWCUGCAAACCAGUAAUUUCAGUUGGGACAACUUUAGAAAAAAUAAACUUCCUAAUUUUACUAGACUGACUAGUCCAAAAUAACUAUGACCCAGUAACACUGAUUAACGAAACAAGCUACCCCAGGGAUAACAGCGCCACCUUCUCAAAGAGUCCAUAUCAACAAGAAGAUCUACGACCUCGAUGUUGGAUCAGGGUACCCAGACGGUG